rnacentral:rRNA from 1 species
AUUGAACGCUGGCGGCAGGCCUAACACAUGCAAGUCGAACGAGUGGCGGACGGGUGAGUCUUGUCUGGGAAACUGCCUGAUGGAGGGGGAUAACUACUGGAAACGGUAGCUAAUACCGCAUACCAUCAGAUGUGCUCAGAUGGGAUUAGCUUGUUGGUGGGGUAACGGCUCACAAAGGCGACGAUCCCUAGCUGGUCUGAGAGGAUGACCAGCGACACUGUAACUGAGACACGUUCCAGACUCCGACGGGAGGGAGCAGUGGGGAAUAUUGCACAAUGGGCGCAAGCUGGAUGCAGCCAUGCCGCGUGUAUGAAGAAGGCCUUCGGGUUGUAAAGUACUUUCAGCGGGGAGGCGUUACCCGCAGAAGAAGCACCGGCUAACUCCGUGCCAGCAGCCGCGGUAAUUC